ACGGGGCAGGGGCGGGGUGGGAGAGGCACCUGGUCCUCUCUCAGGAGCUCAACCGCAGUCAGACCGUGUCCCGACGGCGCUAUAAAAACAACCCAGCGGUCACCGCGCUGGCCAUCUCCAGGGACCACAGUAGUCUGUUUGUGGGAGACGCUUGGGGCAGGGUGUUCAGCUGGACCUGUGAGGCGUAGAAACGGAGGACUAUGCGCCCUAUCGAAAAUGCUGUACACACCCUACCGAAAAUCCCCACAUACUCUACACACCCUACUGAAAAUCCCAAAUGCUCUGCGCAGUCUACUGAAAAUCCCAAAUGCUCUGCGCACUCUACUGAAAAUCCCAAAUGCUGUACACACCCUACUGACAAUCCCAAAUACUCUGCAAACCCUACUGAAAAUCCCAAAAUGCUCUGUGCACUCUACUGAAAAUCCAAAAUGCUGUACACACCCUACUGAAAAUCCCCAAAACGCACCUUUUAUCACUUCUCUCAAAGCCUGUGUGAAGGGCUGCUGUGGAGUAUACACCACAGGGGAAGCUGUUUGGUUGGAUGUGCAGGUGCAGACCCAGGUGUUAGUAGCCCUGCUCGGGAAUGACCGUUUUACAGGGAAAGCGAUUGGUUGGACGCAGAUGUGGCGAGUAUUUCUGAAUGCACCGUUUAAGGAUUCUGUUUUUUGCGAGAGGUCAGGAUGUUCAUCAAAACACCUUCCCUGGGUUACUCCUCAGUUUUUUUAAAAAGCUUCAAUUCAAUUAAAGUCAGUUCAGUUAAAUUCGGUUCAGUUCAGUUACAUUCAGUUCAGUUAAAUUCGGUUCAGUUCAGUUACAUUCAGUUCAUUUCAGUUAAAUUCAGUUCAUUUCAGUUAAAUUCAGUUCAGUUAAAUUCAGUUAAAUUCAGUUCAGUUCAGGUCUCAUUUGCAUCCUCAUGCCGAGCGAUGAUGGUAAGAAUGUUACACAGGAAAAAGGCUCAAAAGCUUUGUGUGGGCGUGGAGCGGGGGCAGGGCAUUUAAACCUCAUCAGACACCUUCUGUGAAACUGGCAAAAGGAAAGCAAGUAUUAUUUUAGAAAUGAAAGACGCGGCGCUUCUGCUGUGGCCUGACGCUCUCUGCACAGUAGACUCCGGUCUGAAGGUUUCCGGAGAGCUCCGAGCCCACAGCCCCCUUUAUUUUACAAACUCUCCUGGCUGCCACUGCAAUCCCGCCAUCUUGCUACCAUUUAUUAUUUUGACUGUGAAGUUUGUCGGUUAUUCCCCCCCCCGUCCCGUCCCGUCCCGUCUCCUGGUAAUUCACCCCCUCACCUAAAAAGGAACGGGGUCAUAGCCGUGUACCACGGGCAGCAGGUUUCUGCUCUGUGUUCUUUCACUGAUUUUAAAAUGACGUGAUUUUACUGAAAAUGAAAUGUACGACUUCUGCUGAUAAUGAAUACUUGACUAAUGACGUUGCUGCAUGUUUUUAUGUUUUCCUAGAGAUGUACCAGCUGUUACAACAUUGAUGUUAAUACAGAGUAUUUUGUGCUAGUGUGGCAGGUUUUUUGUAUGUGUGUGGAUGUGUAUUGGUGUGUGUGUCUGUGCACACGUGUGUGUGUGUGUGUGUGUGUGCGUGCGCGGGCGCUUGUAUAUAAUCUUGUCAUACCUGCUCUUUUAUUGAAUGUUCUGUAAAUAAAUUAAUUCACUCUGUU